UACGUAGGGGGCAAGCGUUGUCCGGAUUUACUGGGCGUAAAGAGCGUGUAGGCGGCCAAGCAGGUCCGUUGUGAAAACUGGAGGCUUAACCUCCAGACGUCGACGGAAACCGCGUGGCUAGAGUCCGGAAGAGGAGAGUGGAAUUCCUGGUGUAGCGGUGAAAUGCGCAGAUAUCAGGAAGAACACCAAUAGCGAAGGCAGCUCGCUGGGACGAAACUGACGCUAAGGCGCGAAAGCGUGGGGAGCGAACAGG
rnacentral:rRNA from 1 species